rnacentral:rRNA from 1 species
UAGGGAAUCUUCCACAAUGGACGCAAGUCUGAUGGAGCAACGCCGCGUGAGUGAAGAGGGUCUUCGGAUCGUAAAGCUCUGUUGUUGGUGAAGAAGGAUAGAGGCAGUAACUGGUCUUUAUUUGACGGUAAUCAACCAGAAAGUCACGGCUAACUACGUGCCAGCAGCCGCGGUAAUACGUAGGUGGCAAGCGUUGUCCGGAUUUAUUGGGCGUAAAGCGAGCGCAGGCGGAAUGAUAAGUCUGAUGCGAAAGCCCACGGCUCAACCGUGGAACUGCAUCGGAAACUGUCAUUCUUGAGUGCAGAAGAGGAGAGUGGAACUCCAUGUGUAGCGGUGGAAUGCGUAGAUAUAUGGAAGAACACCAGUGGCGAAGGCGGCUCUCUGGUCUGCAACUGACGCUGAGGCUCGAAAGCAUGGGUAGCGAACAGGAUUAGAUACCCUGGUAGUCCAUGCCGUAAACGAUGAGCGCUAGGUGUUGGGGACUUUCCGGUCCUCAGUGCCGCAGCAAACGCAUUAAGCGCUCCGCCUGGGGAGUACGACCGCAAGGUUGAAAC